GGGAAGUAGCCAUAAUACUUUUGGUGAUGAGAUUUUGAACUAGCUAUGCAUGUUAGCCUGCGAAGCUUGUGAAGGUUCCUGCAUCUUCAUUCCAUUGCAUUACUGGACCUAAAUUCCUGAACUGCUUUCUACUAUCACAGCUGCUGCUGAUUGUUUCUCCAGCUUCCUGAUCUGCAUAACCCCUGAAAAAUACCUGGUUCCUUAUCAAUCCUGGACUCUGUUGUUCACUGGCUGCCCUCUGCAGCAUGGCUCAGAUCCCAUCACCACCUUUUUUCUUGUCCACCCCAGGAGAACCUGCUCUUCCCUGGAAACUAUGAAGGUCCUAUUUCUGCAAUUAUCUCCUCCCUAUAUAGACCCCUGAUUUUACUCCAACGAAGCAGAAGGCUUCACUGCCUGGGAACUGAAGGCCAAAGAACAUUGUCAGUGACCAGCCACUCCUCCCCCUAAAGAGUUAACCAGAAAUGAACCUUGUCCUGACAGACAGGCUGGUGAACUUCAGGGAUCAGCCAACCAGCACACCAGGUGGGUGGGACCUAGAGGGCCGUUGGAGAGGAAGAAGAGUUUCUUUGUUGGAAGGAGCUGGCUGGAGGAGCAGAGAAGAUGUGGCCAUGAGGUCUGGCUGCAGGAAAAUAUCUCUGCAAAUACGGGGAAGCCAGGAGAGAAGGAAACUUGAAUUCUCUACCAUGGUUUGUUUCUGUAUCUGCAGUUGCAUCUGGGAACGAAACCCCUUUGAAUAUCAAGGGCCUCCUAUACUCUUGCAUGGAGCUACCGUCCUUCACUGUGUUAUCAAUACUGAAAUCUUGAUAAUUUACUAAGAGCUGAAAGCCAUAUGAACUUCAGUGCUCCUGCCUGGAAAAAUUAAAAAACAACAACAACAACUCCCAGUGCACUUAAAUCAACUAAUCAGUCUAUUCAUCCCGGAAAGUCCAGUGUGUGUAAAAAUUAACCAUGUAUGCAAUAGGAAGAAGAAUGCUGAUUACAGGUCUAACUUGUUCACAUUAUCACUUUGUCAUUUAUCUGAUUUUUUUUUUUUUUAAACAACCAUAUUCUAUUUUCCUCAGCUGGCCUAAAACCCCUCUUGCUGUCAGUAAAUAUUAAACUCAGUGGAUAAUUAUACUAAUUUAUUUUCAAUAAUUUUCAAAUUAAAAUGAUGUACUGUG